GUACGUCGUUGGUAGAGCAGUUGACUUUUAAUCAAUUGGUCGCAGGUUCGAAUCCUGCACGACCCACCAAUUUCAGCAUUUAACUCAGAUGCUGAACGUGAAGGAUAACGUUGCGUCAGCAACGGCCCGAAGGGCGAGGCAAAGCCGAGUCAUCCUGCACGACCUACCA
rnacentral:sRNA from 1 species